rnacentral:rRNA from 1 species
AUUGAACGCUGGCGGCAGGCCUAACACAUGCAAGUCGAACGGUAGUACAGAGAGCUUGCUCUCGGGUGACGAGUGGCGGACGGGUGAGUAACGUCUGGGAAACUGCCCGAUGGAGGGGGAUAACUACUGGAAACGGUAGCUAAUACCGCAUAACGUCGCAAGACCAAAGUGGGGGACCUUCGGGCCUCACACCAUCGGAUGUGCCCAGAUGGGAUUAGAUAGUAGGUGGGGUAAUGGCUCACCUAGGCGACGAUCCCUAGCUGGUCUGAGAGGAUGACCAGCCACACUGGAACUGAGACACGGUCCAGACUCCUACGGGAGGCAGCAGUGGGGAAUAUUGCACAAUGGGCGCAAGCCUGAUGCAGCCAUGCCGCGUGUAUGAAGAAGGCCUUCGGGUUGUAAAGUACUUUCAGCGGGGAGGAAGGCGGUGAAGUUAACAGCUUCACCGAUUGACGUUACCCGCAGAAGAAGCACCGGCUAACUCCGUGCCAGCAGCCGCCGUAA